UACGUAGGGUGCAAGCGUUGUCCGGAAUUAUUGGGCGUAAAGGGCUCGUAGGCGGUCCAUCGCGUCGGGGGUGAAAAGCUGGGGCUUAACCCCAGUCCUGCUUCCGAUACGGGUGGACUAGAGGUAGGUAGGGGAGAACGGAAUUCCUGGUGUAGCGGUGAAAUGCGCAGAUAUCAGGAGGAACACCGGUGGCGAAGGCGGCAUCCUGGACCGAUAUUGACGCUGAUGCGCGAAAGCCAGGGGAGCAAACGGG
rnacentral:rRNA from 1 species